CAAAGGAUGCCAAUCCCUAUAAAAGGACACUUUGAAAAUGCUAAGUUGGGUGAGUCUCUUUCUCUACUGCUGUUUAAUCGGAGCACAGAUGCAUCUGUUCACCCCACUCCAGCUGUUAUCUUCAAAUCUGCUACCUCCAAAUCAUCACCAUCUACUCAAUAAGCCUGGGUUGGCCACCCUGGGCUGAUAUUGAGCAACUAUUGUUGAUAUGAUCCUGAACCAAACAUCUGGAUCCAGAAUGAAUAAAAGGCUUCUGGGAUUCACAUUUCCACUGGUCUAGGGUAAGAACUGGGAAUAGACUGCACCUCUCCCAAUUGCCACACAUCUUUAGAUGGUCUCCAAUCAGAAGCAUCUCUUCAGAGAGCAGAUGAGGCAAGUAAGCAAACAACAAAGGAAUGAGAUAUGAAGGAAGAAGAUAUGGAUGAAAAAUUACAAAUGCUACGUAUGCAACUGCCUGUCAUCUGCUACUUUGGGUGUGUUCAGACAUCCUGUCAGAAAGGUGUUCUAACUAUGGCACUUUACACAAAAUGCUAUGAGUUAAAGGGGCAUUGAACCCAACAGGCCUGUUAGGCCUAACUUAGAUUGGUCACUUCAUUUUUUGGGGUAAUUUAAGCACUGUGAAUGUCUGCACACCCAGGCAUUUAGAUCCACCUAACCUUGGUGUAGUUACACUAGUGCACACAAAGGCUAGGGACAGACUUUCAAAAAACCUGAGCCUGAUUUGAUUCAAUCUUUGCAGUUUAAUCUAUCCUGGCUAGGCUGAACUGGUUGGUAACUGGAGAUGCUUUCUCUCUGGAUUGAGGAAAUUCAGGCACAUGGCUGCAGUGGCUCAGGUUAGAAGCUGGGGGGCACUAGAGUAGCCCUCCCUUCCCUUGCACCAUGCUGAGAUGAAGGGGAUGCAGCCAGGCCCCAGCAGGAUGCUUUCACUAGGGAGGUCUGCCUGCAACAUCCCAAGUUUUUCUCUGCUGGCUGUUCAAGGGUCAGGUGUGUUGCCAGCCCCCAGCCCAUGGCUAGCACUCUGAGGUAAGGGGGGGAGAGGUGGUGCAGUGCAUUCAUCUGUUGAUGAUACAAAGAUUUCCAAUAUCCUGCCAUGCUCCUUUAUACUGUCUGCAGCAAACUGAGGUGAGCAAGCCAGCAAGGUGAGGUGUUUAUCACUUAAUCAGCAAAACAGUAGCCUCUCUCCAUUAGUUCAAACUCUUCUUAAACAGCUUAGCAGCUGAAUGGGGCUUGGGUCUGU